AGUUCUAUAACUCCCAAACCCAUGUGAACAUACCUAACGUUGCCUCGGCAGGUCGCACCUACCUUGUAGCACCCUACCCUGUAGGGCCUACCCGGGAGGUGCGGGUAAGCCUGCCGGCGGCCCACCAAACUCUGUUUGAUAUUGAAUUCUGAACCUAUAACUAAAUAAGUUAAAACUUUCAACAACGGAUCUCUUGGUUCUGGCAUCGAUGAAGAACGCAGCGAAAUGCGAUAAGUAAUGUGAAUUGCAGAAUUCAGUGAAUCAUCGAAUCUUUGAACGCAUAUUGCGCCCAUUAGUAUUCUAGUGGGCAGGACCGUUCGAGCGUCAUUUCAACCCUUAAGCCUUCGUUGCUUAGUGUUGGGAGCCUACGGCAACGUAGCUCCUCAAAGUUAGUGGCGGAGUUGGUUCACACUCUAGACGUAGUAAUUUUUUAUCUCGCCUAUUAGUUGGACUAAUCCCCUGCCGUAAAACCCCCAAUUUAUCAAGGUUGACCUCGAAUCGGUUCAGACAAACUCGCUAAAUUGAAGCAUCUUAGUCAGCGAAGGAAAAGAAACCAACAGGGAUUGC
rnacentral:rRNA from 1 species